rnacentral:rRNA from 1 species
AACGUAGGAGACAAACGUUAUCCGGAGUUACUGGGCGUAAAGGGCGUGUAGGCGGUUAGUUAAGUCUGGCGUGAAAGCUCUCGGCUAAACCGGGAGAGGUCGUUGGAUACUGGCUGACUAGAGGACGGUAGAGGCGUGUGGAAUUCCGGGUGUAGUGGUGAAAUGCGUAGAGAUCCGGAGGAACACCAGUGGCGAAGGCGGCAUCCUGGUCUGCGACUGACGCUGUGGCGCGAAAGCUAGGGGAGCGAACGGG